ACUGGGAAGCUAGAGUAUGGGAGAGGAUGGUAGAAUUCCAGGUGUAGCGGUGAAAUGCGUAGAGAUCUGGAGGAAUACCGAUGGCGAAGGCAGCCAUCUGGCCUAAUACUGACGCUGAGGUACGAAAGCAUGGGGAGCAAACAGGAUUAGAUACCCUGGUAGUCCAUGCCGUAAACGAUGUCUACUAGCCGUUGGGGCCUUUGAGGCUUUAGUGGCGCAGCUAACGCGAUAAGUAGACCGCCUGGGGAGUACGGUCGCAAGACUAAAACUCAAAUGAAUUGACGGGGGCCCGCACAAGCGGUGGAGCAUGUGGUUUAAUUCGAUGCAACGCGAAGAACCUUACCUGGUCUUGACAUAGUAAGAACUUUCCAGAGAUGGAUUGGUGCCUUCGGGAACUUACAUACAGGUGCUGCAUGGCUGUCGUCAGCUCGUGUCGUGAGAUGUUGGGUUAAGUCCCGCAACGAGCGCAACCCUUUUCCUUAUUUGCCAGCACUUCGGGUGGGAACUUUAAGGAUACUGCCAGUGACAAACUGGAGGAAGGCGGGGACGACGUCAAGUCAUCAUGGCCCUUACGACCAGGGCUACACACGUGCUACAAUGG
rnacentral:rRNA from 1 species